CCCGUUCACAUUGUACCUGAGUUUUCUGGAUACGACUCUUCUUCUCCCUCCUCUUGCGGCCAACCUCCGACCAGAUCUCCACCGGCUGCCUCCCUCUCCGCCUCCGGCGACCUUGUCAGCAACGAGACGGGGCGGGGCUCACCCUCCACUUAUACAUCUUCGUUACAGAUCAUAUCUUGCUGUUAUCGCCAUUGCCAUCGCCGCUCUCAUCUCGUCGGAUUUGUGACCUCGCACAUCGGUCUUGUUGGCCACGGUGCGGGAAGUGGCGCUCUCAUCGGCUUCGAUCUUCAGGAGACAUCGGUGAGCCUAAAUAAUCUUUUCCCCUUUCUAGAACUGGAGAUGCUUUGUUCUGUUGUGCACAAAUCGAUCCACCACCACUCAUCUCCGGCCAUCUGUCCAUCCUCACAACAUCAUCUCCGGCACGAUCCCCUCCAGAACCACGUAUCCUUCUUGUGGAACAUAUGAACAAAUCCCUGCUGCUGCCUUCAUUUCAAUCCAAUAUUCGGUAUGCGUUGAUGCUUGUUGCGCUUUUUUUUAAUCCCAAGCAGAGUCCUGGUUGCUUUUGUCGGUACUACUACUCUCAUCUUCCCGUCCUCCCCUUUUGUUUAUUGUUCUAGAGUUCUUGCGGGUGAUCUCGAGUUUUGUCUCUGAUCGAUUGUGGAUUCUUGUUGAUAUAGAGUUUCAGAUUUUGAUUUCUCGUACAUACAUCACAUUGAAAUCCAGAUGGGCCGUCAUUAUUCAGUUAACUGCAGAUCUGGUGCUGCUUGAUUAUCAGCUCUCCAGUGAGGAUGAUAACUCGGAGGUCAGAUCCCAUUAUUUUGUUUAUUUGUCUCAAUUGGAGGUCACUAAAGUUUAACAAUGUCAUUAAAAAUUUAGUCUGACUAAUCAACUGGAUAUCAUGUGGUUUUAUGGAUAUGUUGAUUGUUUAUUUAGCUUUCUAAGUUACUGCAUUAGUACACAUUCAGGUGGCUUAACUAGUACUCAUUUAGGUUGCAUAAGUACUCAUUCUAGUUGGUUAUUGGAUUUGUCAAUGUUGUCAGGGGAAAGGGGGGAAAAAGAGUUAGCAGGUGUAUCUGCUAGGUGUUAGCUUACCCGGUUGUUUGAUCUGAUUUCUAGGCUUGGUGAUUGCAAGAAGUUAGUAAAAGAAUUCAGGUUUGAGGGGAUUGAUUCACUUCCCUACUCUUUCGCAAAUAAACAUAAUGUUUGCUGUCCGGAUGAUGUACUGUGGAGGGUUGAUGCAUUUGUUGCAUACCCUUGUUCUGUUUUAUUCAAAAAAGUUGAAGUUUAGCAAGGAAGAAAGUGGCAUGCAUUCUGGGCUUCCAUGUGGAAUUAGAAAAAGUAGGUAACCGAGUGUCAAUAUGGGUUGGCAUUUGGCAAUGUCAGCUAACGAGGAGAGUUCAUUCAAGCUUGCAUUGUGGUGUAUGUAUGUUAUGUCAACUUUUAAUAUCACUAGGUACUAGGCUUGACUAUGCAUCAGUUGUUACUGGACUGCACUGCACAAUCCUUCGAUAGGGUCAUAUCAAUAGUAUGAUUAUGUACUGAGAAAGGCUACUUUGAUGCAGUGAUUAAGAUUAAAACUGACCUCAAUGGCAAUACAAAAGUACCCAGUAUUACUUGCACAUUAUUCUUGCAGCUAUACAGUUUCCUUUAUUUGUAUCUCGAAAUAGAUAUUCUGUUGCAUAUAAAAUUUUUUGUAGCAUUGUGGUAAUUACAUAUAUGUCAUAAUGCAGCCCAACUUGUUUAAAUUUCAUAAUUUAAGUAUAGGUGUUGUACCAUGACAGUAUACACCUCAGUGUCCUUAGUAUGAACCAUGGUAUCUUGAAGAAAGUUGUAUCUUUCCGCAUAUUAAAUGUUUUGCAUCUGACAGAAUGAGGCCUAUGAUCCGUGCCAAUAUUGUUCCUGUACCUUGGAUCAGCCUGAUUCUGUAAUUGGAAAAAGCAAGGUGGUUGUUAUUUCACAUCUUAUAUUGUGCAGUUUUAGCAGGAAUAAGUUGUGCACUUCAGUAUAUAUCAUGGUUCUCAGAUUUGAUUAUUUCCUUUAAGUUUAUUUGUACCACUUUUCCACUCCUAGUUACGAUCAGCAUUAGAAUGAUGCUACCAUUGCUCUUUAAAUUGGGAGGUAGAUGCCACUGAGAACACAAUCUCAUUGAAUGUUGCUUUUGGGGGAAGCAACUAGAUCCCUUGCUCGAUCAUAUAGAGUUCCUAUGGAGAAGGUGGAGGUCAAAGGACUACAAUUCGUCUUGGCUAAGGGGUUCCUUGAAGCUCGAGGCUCCUCAAUUUGAUUCUUCACCCUAGGAUGCUUAGAUAAUAUUAUUUUUUAUUGUAUUUGGAUGUCCACAGUUGUAUGUACUAUUAAUAUGAUGUGUUUGGAAAUAAGAAUUACAUAUAAAGAUUGGCAGUUCUCAUUA